GAAAUUCUGUCUAGACUGCAGCCGUAGAAUUAGGAGUAAAGAACGUCUAGAGUUACCCCGUAGAAUUAGGACUCAAAAAAGAGAAUUCGAUGGUGAUCAAGUUGAAGUGAAGGUCAUCUGGGUCCUAGAAAAAUUCUUCUAGAUCCUAGAAAAAUUUGUCUAAGAAAGGAGCUAGAAGCGAAAUAAGUGAAGGAAGGCAUGUGCCACAUCUGAAACUUUGUCUAUGUUUGCCAGAUCAUAUUAUCUAGGCCAGUGAUAAUAUGAUCUGGCGCACUGGCCGAAAAUUUGGGCCGGUCGCAUCCUGUGCGUCCGCUUCGCUUACUGCCAACCGUCAGAUCGAAAGCUCUUUGCCCCCCGCAUCUCGCAUCUGAACACACAUGGGAGAAAAAAAAGAAAAAAAGGAGAGGAUGCAGCCCAGAUCGCCGAAAUCCAUUGCCUCGCUGUCCCCGCCCGCGCAGCCGCCGGAGUCCCGCGUCUCCGGCGGCCCCUCCACGGCCACCGCCAUCAUCGUCGACUGCAGCUCCCCGCUUCUCUUCGCAACUUGAAGUAGAAGUCGUUGUGCGCCCUCCUCAUCUCGUCGUCGUUCCAACACCGCGUCUUGCCAGAUGCAACUCUGAACAAAAGUCGGUCCAUCAAAUUACGCAGCCCAUCAUAGCACGGCGACGCCAUCUUCGGCUCGCCACCGUCGUUGACCUGCACCACCUAAUUUCAGCGAAAACCAAAACUCAGCUCAAAAAUAUAGUUGAAACAAAAUCAAAAAACGGUUCCAGCAAAAAGUAACUUAGGUUCCAGCAAAACAACCCCAGUGCUAGAAAAUUAGGUAAACUAAUUGAAGCAAAAAUUUACCACUGUUCCAGCAAAAUCAAACUCUGGUUCAGCAAAACCAAAACUGAGCAAGUAGGAAUCAUGGUUCUUGCAAAACCAAAACUGAGCAAGUAGGAAAUUUAGAUAAAAACAUGUUUGAAACAAAAAUUUACCUGUUUCCAGUAAAAAAAAAACACCUCCGGUUCCAGCAAAAAUAAUCGCAUCUCAACGUCCAACCUUGUAGCUCCACCAAAAGCCGGUUGCAACUCCGUUGUCGAGGGGCGCAGCUGAUUGCAGCCGCCCUCGCCGCUGUAUGCAGCUCUUAUGCUCCGCGUUGCAGUCGCCGCCGCCCGGCGUCGAUGGAUGCAGCUCGACCAAAUAGAUGGUUGCAGCUCCGCCAAUCGCCGAUUGAAGCUCUGUGGCCCCUAAUUUGUUGCUAGGUGUGGCGCCUCGAGCUGGAAAUAAAGCAUGGCAGCUCGGCCAUGGCCAUGGCGUUGGAUGCUUUGAGGUGAAUGCAUUUUUGGGAGGAGGGAGAAGGCACUGGAAGCGGUGGGGAUAAGGAAAGAGGAUAAAGUAGCGAAGCGAUGUGGCUCGGCUCGGCUCGAUAGGUCAAGGACGCGUGGCCCGCGUGGACCCGCCUGCUCGCGUAGCUAGCGAGGUGACCGGCUCAAACUUUGGGCCGACGCCCCGGCUCUAAACACUUUCCUAUUAUCUAUUUCCUUGUGUUUGAUCUAUUCAUGCCAUUUUAUUUGAAUUGUACUUGGGUGAGUGGGAAACCAAGAAUACUCCCUCCGUCACAGUUUAGAAGACACAGUUAAAUUUGUGUGCGUUUCCACAAUAAACAAGGUUUAGGGUGCAUUGCAUUUAUUUCUAGUAGCUAAGUAGUACUCCGAUAUAGUAUUCCUAUAUGCAUGCGUAGUGUGAAUGCUAUUUUUUAGCCCAUCUCACGGCCAAUAGAUAACCACCUAGGUCCCAGAGAAUUUUUAAGUGCGCCUUCUAAACUACGACAGAUGGAGUAGUAAAAGAGUCUUUCGUAUUCGUUAGUGAACAUUUAUAUUCGGCAAUGUACUGUGAUUAGUAAUUCUAAUAAGCCAUUGCAAUUAAUUUUAGAGAAGCACGAAGCGUCCAAAUAAACCAGACCAGUAGGCAGGGAUCCAAGGGAACCGAAUACCUCAGAUUUAGCAUCAUCUUCCCGCUGUUAUAAAACUAAAAUAAUUGUGAAACUGCAUGCUACCAUUACUCAGCAAUCAAGAGUCCUUAAUUAAUGGCUAUAUAUUUUCCUCUAUUUUUGGUCAAACUUGACAAAUUUUGACUUUAACAAAAUCCUAAACGCGAAGUAAAUAAAAAUGGAGUGAGUAGCAAUCAGGCAACGUUGUUAGAAAUGGUGUUGGGUAAGUGCACCUAAAGCUCAUAGUUGGACAGCAUACCACUGCAUUUUGAUUUGAUUUGGGAGCUAAUUUAGCGACUAUCCAUAUAGUCACUCAGAUUUCGUUUUCGCUAAUCUGGUCUAAACUCUGAUUUCCUUAGCUUUGUGAUCAGCUUUCCUUCGCUGGAUAGCACUUCAACCUUUACAUACUUUUUUUUAUCAUAAUAUCCCCGGACCAAUUUUCAAAAUCAGUUCCUGGCCCACUAUUUAGGUUUGGUGUAACAGUUAUCUUUCAAUAUUUAACCAUUGGAUCCGAGCCAAUGAACGGCUGUCAAUGUUUCCAAGCGUUGUAAAAUUCCUCCUUAUUGUAUUAAGAAGAAAAGGAACUAUAUUCAUAGACUGUUGGAUGACAAUGGUGAAUGGAAAGAGGACAAUGAGUCAAUGAAGAAUCUGAUAGGUAGCUAUUUUCAACACUUGUUCACUUCAGAAGUUGCAGAUCCGAAUUGGAAUGUUAUUAACAGGGUGAAACCGAAAGUUACUCUCUACAUGAAUGAGGCUUUAAUGGCCCCAUAUACCGAAGAUGAGGUAAAGAGAGCCUUAUUCAGCACUCCCUCCAUUUCGAAUUAGUCUACAUCCUGACUACAUCAUUUGCUCCAAAUUAGUCUACAUUCUACCAAGAAAUCGCAACAGUGCUUCCAUCAGCGGCCAUCGGUGCUACCGUCCGUGUUCGGCGGUGCUAACUGCUGGAGUCAGCAUGCUACCAGCGGUGCUACUUGCCGGAGUCAGCAUGUUAUCGAUGAUGCUGCCGGCGUUGGUCGGCGAGGUCCCGUCGCACCUUUGUAGGUCGGGAUGAUGGUGCAGCAGGCGGCGGUGCAGGUAGCGCGGACGGCGGUGCUCGGAGUUGGCUCGUUGCCGGCCAUGCAAGAGAAAGAUCGGGGCAAGUACUGAAAUUAUUGGUAACAGAUAAGAUAAUUCAUAACAGGUAACAAGUAACAAAAGUAAACAAGGUGCAGUAAGAUUGCCCAAUCCUUGUUGUAGCAAAGGACAAGCCUGCACGAGCUCUUAUGUAAAGUAAAGCGCUCCCGAGGACACAUGAGAAUUGUUGUCAAGUUAGUUUUCAUCAUACUCAUAUGAUUCACGUUCGUUACUUUGAUAAUUUGAUAUGUGGGUGGACCGGAGCUUGGUGCUGCCCUUCCUUGGACAAGCCUCCCACUUAUGAUUAACCACUCUCGCAAGCAUCUGCAACUACGAAGGAAUAAUUAAGAUAAAUCUAACCAUAGCAUGAAACAUAUGGAUCCAAAUCAGCCCCUUACGAAGCAACACAUAAACUAGUGUUUAAUCUUCUGUCACUCUAACAACCCAUCAUCUACUUAUUACCUUCCAUUGCCUUUCCCUAGCCCCAAAUCAUGGUGAAGUGUCAUGUAGUCGACUUCACAUAACACCACUAGAGGAGAGACAACAUACAUCUCAUCAAAAUAUCGAACGAAUACCAAAUUCACAUGAUUACUUAUAACAAGAUGAUGUGUGCUAGAACUACGUCGGUAUUUCCCCAAAGAGGAAGGGGUGAUGUAGUAUAGCGACGGUAGGUAUUUCCCUCGGUGAUGAGACCAAGGUUAUCGAACCAGUAGGAGAACCUCCUAAAACCACGUAAACAACACCUGCACACAAAUAACAAAUACUCGCAAUCCGACGUGUUAAGGGGGUUGUCAAUCCCUUUCGGAUACGACGCCUCAAGAUAGGCAAAAACCAGAGGUAAAAAGUGGUAGAUAGGAUAAAUAGAUCGUGGAACAAAUAAAUUACAGCAAGGUAUUUUCGUAUUUUUGGUUUAAUAGAUCUGAAAAUAAAUGCAAGAGAAAAUAGAUCGCAAAGGCAAAUAUGAUGAAAAGAGACCCGGGGGGUAGGUUUCACUAGUGGCUUCUCUCGAGAAAAAUAGCAAACGGUGGGAAAACAAUUACUGUUGGGCAAUUGAUAGAACUUCAAAUAAUCAUGACGAUAUCCAGGCAAUGAUCAUUAUAUAGGCAUCACGUCCAAGAUUAGUAGACCGACUCCUGCCUGCAUCUACUACUAUUACUCCACACAUCGACCGUUAUCCAGCAUGCAUCUAGUGUAUUAAGUUCAUGAGAAAAAGGAGUAAUGCAAUAAGAACGAUGACAUGAUGUAGAUGAGAUCUGUUUAUCUAUUGUGGCAGAUAUAGAUCUCAUCUUGUUAUCCUUAGUAGCAAUGAUACAUACGUGUCGGUUCCCCUUCUGUCACUAGGAUCAAGCACCGUAAGAUCGAACCCACUACAAAGCACCUCUUCCCAUUGCAAGAUAAAUAGAUCAAGUUGGCCAAACAAAACCCAAAUAUCGAAGAAGAAAUACAAGGCUAUAAGAAAUCACACAUAUAAGAGAUCAAAGAAGACUCAAAUAACUUUUAUGGAUAAAAACAUAGAUCUGAUCAUAAACUCAAAGUUCAUCGGAUCCCAACAAACACACCGCCAAAACACUUACAUCAUAUGGAUCUCCAAGAGACCAUUGUAUUGAUAAUCAAGAGAGAGAGAGGAAGCCAUCUAGCUACUAACUACGGACCCGUAGGUCUACAAAGAACUACUCACGCAUCAUAGGAGAUGCACCAAUGGAAGUGGUGAACCCCUCCAUGAUGGUGUCUAGAUUGGAUCUGGUGGUUCUGGACUCUGCGGCGGUUGGAUCAAUAUUUCGUCGACUGCCCUAGGGUUUCUAAAAUAUUCGGGUAUUUAUAGAGCAAAGAGGCGGUUCGGGGGGGGGGGCACCCGAGGUGGGCACAACCCCCCAGGGUGCGCCUGGGCCUCCUGACGCGCCCUGGUGGGUGCUGCUCACCUCGAGCAGCCCCUUAGGUGCUUCCUUGGCCCAUUGGCUUUCUUCUGGACCAAAGAAAUCCUCCAGGAGUUGCAUUGCAUUUGGACUCCGUUUGAUAUUGAUUUCAUGCGAUGUAAAAACACAUGCAGAAAACAACAACUGUCACUGGGCACUAUGUCAAUAGGUUAGUACCAAAAAAUGAUAUAAAAUGACUAUAAAAUGAUUAUAAAAGAUCCAAGAAUGAUAAUAUAAUAGCAUGGAACAAUCAAAAAUUAUAGAUACGUUGGAGACGUAUCAGCAUCCCCAAGCUUAAUUCUUGCUCGUCCUCGAGUAGGUAAAUAAUAAAAAUAGAAUUUUUAAUGUGGAAUGCUGCCUAACAUGUUCAUCACAUUCUUUUUUUAUAGCAUGGACAUAUGGACUUUUAUAUGAUUCAAGGCAAUAGUCUAGUUUUGACAUGAAGACUUUAAUACUCAAGCAUACCAACAAGUAACCAUGUAUUUCAAAAUAUCAACACUAAAGCAAGUUAUCCUAGCCCAUCAUGCUCAAUCAUUGAUCCAUUCAUGAAACACACUCGAAUAUUAGCUACACCCAAUGCUCAAAUACGAUUAUAGUGCCCCUUAGUUGGUGCUUUAUAAGAGAAGAUGGAGACUCAAAUUCAAAAUAAAAAUUUCAUAAGUAAAAGAAAGGCCCUUCGCGGAGGGAAGUAGGGAUUUGUAGAGGUGCCAGAGCUCAUAGCUUAAAUUGAGAGAAAAAAUUAUUUUUGAGAGGCAUACUUUUCCUACCAACGAAAACGACUUGGAGCAUCCCAACACUUUUCAUGCUAGAUACACCAUAGGCGGUUCCCAAACAAAAAAUAAAGUUUAUUCCUUUUUCCACCAUAACUUUCACUUUCCAUGGCUAACCGUAUCCACGGGUGCCCUCCAUACCAACACUUUCCAAGGAAUUUAUUAUUUGACAACAUAAAGUAAAUUCAUUUAUUCAUUUCGGACUGGGCAUCCCUAGUACCUUUGGCGUACUCUCGUGCAAUGACAAGUGAAUAAACACUCAUCAUGAGAAUAACACAUCUAGCAUGGAAAAUAUUGGCUACCCUUUACCGCCUCGCGAGUAGUAGAGCACACAAAAGAGAAAUUUAUUUUGAAAAUUAGAGAUGGCACAUGAAAAUUUGCUUAGAACGGCAUGGAAAUACCGCAUAUAGGUAGGUAUAGUGGACUCAUAUGGCAAAACUAGUUUAAAGGGUUUUGGAUGCACAAGUAGUGAUCAUACUUAGUUCAAAAUGAAAGCUAGCAAAAAUAUUGAGAAGCGACCAACCAAAAAGCAAAAAAUCUCGUACCCAAGCGUUAAGCAUAAGUAACACCGAAUAAUGCACCAUAAGUAGGAUAUAAAUUUCAUUGCAUAACUAUUGACUUUCAUGCUUGCAUAGGGAAUCACAACCCUUAACAUCAAUAUUCUUACUAAAGCACAAUUACUCAUCAACAUGACUCACAUAUCAUAUCAUCAUAUCUCAAAACCAUUACUAAGAAUCAAGUUUAUUUUGUCCAAUGAUCUUAAUGAAAGUUUUUAUUAUAUCCUCCUUCGAUAUCUAUCACUAAGGGACUAUUUUCAAAUGUUUCUUUUGAUAAGCUCAAACAAAUAUAAGUGAAGAUCACGAGCAUAAUUUUUUUCUUUAUCCCAAAAUAAUCUAAGUGAAGUAAGAGGGAAUUUCUUAAUUAUUUUACUAAAUCCCAAAUAAAUCUAAGUGAAACAUGAGAGCAUUUAUUCAAAAUUAACAAAGCACAUCGUGCUCAAAAAGAUAUAAGUGAAGUACUAGAGCAAGUCCAUGGCUCUAAAAAUUUAAGUGAAGCAUAGGAGCAAACAUAGCAUAAUUUUUGGCUUUCUUAAAAGGUGUGUCCAGCAAGGAUUCAACACUUAAACACAAAGCAAAACAAGCAAAGACUCAUAUCAUACAAGACGCUCCAAGCAAAACUCAUAUCAUGUGAUGAAUAAAAAUAUAGUUUCAAGUAAAAUACCGAUGGUCGUUAGAAGAAAGCGGGGAUGCCACUCGGGGGCAUACCCAAGCUUAGUUGAUUGCUACUUCUUUGAAUAUUAUAUUUGGGUUCCCAGGUCAUCCCCAAGCUUAGACUUUUGGUUAUCCUUAUUCCUUCAUCCAUCGUAAGAUAAUCCAAAACUUGAAAACUUCAAUCACACAAAACUCAAACAAAACCUUCGUGAGAUCUGUUAGGAUAAGAAAGCAAACCACUACUAUAAGUACUGUAGAAAACCUAUUCUUAUUUUGUUUUUACAUUAUAUCUACUGUAUUACAAUUUUUCUAUGGCAAAAACUCAUCAAAGAAAACCAUAGAAUCAUCAAAACAAGCACACAACGCAAAGAAAACAGAAUCUGUCAAAAACAGAACAGUCUGUAGCAAUCUGAAAAUUUCGAAUACUUUUGUAACUCCAAAAAUUAUGAAAUAAAUUUGUGGACGUGAGGAAUUUGUCUAUUUAUCCUCUUAAAAAAUAAUCAACUUAAAAGCACUCUUCUGUAAAAAAAUGACAACGAAUUUCGUGAGCGCAAAAGUUUUUGUUUUUCAGCAAGAUCAAAUAAACUUUCACCCAAGUCUUCCAAAGGCAUUGCUUGGCACAAACACUAACUAAAACGUAAAAAACACAAACAUAAAAGUAGCAUAAUUGUGCUAACACUCAAGAACAGAAAGAAAAAAGCAAAAAUAAAUAUUAUUCAUUGGGUUGCCUCCCAACAAGCGCCAUCGUUUUACGCCCCUAGCUAGGCAUAACGCGUAGGAUCUAAGUGUUGUCAUCUUUGGUUCUAGAUCCAUAAGAUGCAAUCAUGAUUGAUUCAUAUGGUGGCCUAAUUCUAGUUCUAGGGAAGUGUUCCAUUCCCUUCCUUUGUGUAAAUUGAAAUUUAAUAUUGCCUUCUUUCAUAUUGAUCACGGCACUAAUAGUACGCAAAAACGGUGUACCAAGAAUAAUUGGACAAGACAGAUUGCAAUCAAUAUCAAGAACAAUAAAAUCUAUGGGCACACAAUUCCUAUUUGAAAGAAUAAGAACAUCAUUAAUUCUUCCUAUAUGCUUUUUAAUAGUAGAAUCGUAAGUGAAAAUUUAAAGAGCAUUCUUCAAUAUCGGUAAGACCAAGCACAUCACAUAAAGAUUUCAUAAUUGUAGAAACACUAGCACCCAAGUCACAUAAAACAAAACACUCAUAAUUUUUAAUCUUGACUUUGAUAGUAGGUUCCCACUUAUCAUGCAAUUUUCUAGGAAUUGAAACUUCUAAUUCCAAGUUUUCUUCAAAAGCUUUCAUCAUGGCAUCAACAAUAUGUUUAGUAAAAGCUUUAUUUUGUUCAUAAGUAUGGGGUGAAUUUAUCAUGGAUUGCAACAAAGAAAUACAAUCAAUCAAAGAGCAACUAUCAUAAUUAAAGUCUUUGUAAUCCAAAAUUGUGGGCACAUCACUAGUUAAAGUCUUGACCUCUUCAAACCCACUUUUAUCAAAUUUUUCAACAAGAUUUUCACCCUCCGAAUCAUAGGGACGCCUUCUAACUAAAGUUGACUCUUCUCCAGUCCCUUUUUCAUCAAUCUUAACUUACUAAACAAAGAAUCAAUAGAAUAAACACCAAUCACUUUAAUAUCUUCAUCACUUUUAUGAUAGUAAUCACUAGAAAACACUUUUUCUAAAAAAAUUCUUUUGUCUCUAAGCAUAGCGGUUCUUUUCUUACUUUCAUCCAUAGAAACAUAAAGAUUUUAAUUGAUUCUUCAACUUUAGGCACAAAUUUUUUCAUUUUGAGAGUUUCUAUAUCGUGAGAAAUUCUAUCAACACUUCUAGACAAAUCAUCAAUUUUAUUUAACUUUUCUUCUAUCGAAGUGUUGAAAGCUUUUUGCGUAUUGAUAAAUUCUUUAAUAUUGUUCUCAAGAUCAGAGGUGUUUCUAUUAUUAUUGUAGGUGGUAUUACCAUAGGAAUUACCAUAGUUAUUAGAGGAAUUACUAGGAAAAGGCCUAGGAUUAUAAUUACUUCUAUAAGCAUUGUUGUUGAAAUUAUUUCGCGAGACAAAAUUCACAUCUAUGGCAUCACUAUUUUGCUAAAUCAAAGUAGACAAAGGAACAUCAUUAAAAUCAAUAGGAUCACUUUUAUUAGCAACCAACUUCAUAAGAGCAUCAACUUUUUCCUCAAAGAAUUUAUUUCUUCUACCGAAUUGACUUUUUUACUAGUAGGAGCUCUUUCAGUAUGCCAUUGCGAGUAAUUUGCCAUAAUAUUGUCUAGAAAUUUAGUAGCUUCACCCAGAGUAAGUUCCAUUAAGUACCCUCCGUAGCGGAAUCUAAAAGACUAGGAGAAACAAAAUUCAAUCCCACAUAAAAAUUCUGUAUGAUCAUCCAAAGAUUUAACCCAUGAGUUGGGCAAUUCCUUAGCAUCAAUUUCAUCCUUUCCCAAGAUUGUGCAACAUGCUCAUGUUCAAGUUGCUUGAAAUUCACGGUUUGGGUUCUAAGGGAAAUACUUUUUGCGGGCGAAAAAUACUUAGUGAUAAAAGCAUCUUUGCACUUGUUUCAAGAAUCAAUACUAUUGCGAGGCAAAGAAGAAAACCAAAUUUUUGCACGAUAUCGCAAAGAAAACGGAAAUAAUUUCAACUUCACAACAUCAUUGUCCACAUCUUUUUCUUUUGCAUAUCGCAUAAUUCCAUGAAUGUGAUAAGAUGGGACGCGGUAUCCUCAUUUGGAGUACCGGCAAAUUGAUCUUUCAUGACAAGAUUCAACAAAGCAGUAUUAAUAUCACAAGACUCCGCACUAGUGGCGGGAGGAGCAAUCAGAGUGCUAAUAAAAUCAUUGUUGUUAGUAUUUGAGAAAUCACACAACUUGGUGUUCUCUUGAGUCAUGAUGACUACGCAAUAAGAUUGCACUCAAAAACAAAUCUGACGAGAAAACGGCGAACGAAAAAAGGGCGAAUAAAACGGCAAAUUUUUGUGAAGUGGGGGAGAGCAAAACGAGAGGCAAAUGGCAAAUAAUGAAAAUUGUGAGGAGAUGAGAUUUGUGAUUAGGAACCUGGUUGAUGUUGAAGAUCCUCCCCAGCAACGGCGCUAAAAAUUCCUUUUGAUGUCUGCUAGAACUACGUCGGUAUUUCCCCAAUGAGGAAGGGAUGAUGCAGUAUAGCGAUGGUAGGUAUUUACCUUAGUGAUGAGACCAAGGUUAUCGAACCAGCAGGAGAACCUCCUCACACCACAUAAACAACACCUGCACACAAAUACAAAUACUCGCAACCCGACGUGUUAAAGGGGUUGUCAAUCCCUUUCGGGUACGGCGCCUCAAGAUAGGCAAAAACAUGAGGUAAAAAGUGGUAGAUAGGAUAAAUAGAUCGCGGAACAAAUAAAUUGCAGCAAGGUAUUUUUGUAUUUUUAGUUUAAUAGAUCUGAAAAUAAAUGCAAGAGAAAAUAGAUCGCAAAGGCAAAUAUGAUGAAAAGAGACCCGAGGGGCCGUAGGUUUCACUAGUGGAUUCUCUCGAGAAAAAUAGCAAACAGUGGGAAAACAAUUACUGUUGGGCAAUUGAUAGAACUUCAAAUAAUCAUGUUGAUAUCUAGGCAAUGAUCAUUAUAUAGGCAUCACGUCCAAGAUUAGUAGACCGACUCCUGCCUGCAUCUACUACUAUUACUCCACACAUCGACCCGCUAUCCAGCAUGCAUCUAGUGUAUUAAGUUCAUGAGAAAAUGGGGUAAUGCAAUAAGAACGAUGACAUGAUGUAGAUGAGAUCCGUUUAUCUAUUGCGGCAGAUAUAGAUCUCAUCUUGUUAUCCUUAGUAGCAACGAUACAUAUGUGUCGGUUCCCCUUCUGUCACUGGGAUCAAGCACCAUAAGAUCGAACCCACUACAAAGCACCUCUUCCCAUUGCAAGAUAAAUAGAUCAAGUUGGCCAAACAAAACCCAAAUAUCGGAGAAGAAAUACGAGGCUAUAAGCAAUCACGCAUAUAAGAGAUCAAAGAAGACUCAAAUAACUUUCAUGGAUAAAAACAUAGAUUUGAUCAUAAACUCAAAAUUCAUCGGAUCCCAACAAACACACCGCCAAAAGACUUACAUCAUAUGGAUCUCCAAGAGACCAUUGUAUUGAUAAUCAAGAGAGAGAGAGGAAGCCAUCUAGAAAUAACUACGGACCCAUAGGUCUACAAAGAACUACUCACGCAUCAUAGGAGAGGCACUAAUGGAAGUGGUGAACCCCUCCAUGAUGGUGUCUAGAUUGCAUCUGGUGGUUCUGUACUCUGCAGCGGCUGGAUCAAUAUUUCGUCAACUCCCCUAGGGUUUCUGGAAUAUUUGGGUAUUUAUAGAGCAAAGAGGCAGUUCGGGGAGCACCCGAGGUGGGCACAACCCCCCAGGGUGCGCCUGGGCCUCCUGGCGUGCCCUAGUGGGUGUUGCUCACCUCGAGUAGCCCCUCAGGUGCUUCCUUGGCCCAUUGGCUUUCUUCUGGCCCAAAAAAAUCCUCCAGGAGUUGCGUUGCGUUUGGACUCCGUUUGAUAUUGAUUUCCUGCGAUGUAAAAAACAUGCAAAAAACAACAACUGGCACUGGACACUAUGUCAAAAGGUUAGUACCAAAAAAUGAUAUAAAAUGACUAUAUAAUGAUUGUAAAACAUCCAAGAAUGAUAAUAUAACAUCAUGAACAAUCAAACAUUAUAGAUACGUUGGAGACGUAUCACAAUACUUUUCCCAUGUCCUCGGGAACAAACAUAACUACUCACAAAGCAUAUUCAUGUACAAAAUCAGAGGAGUAUUAAUAAUAAUUAAGGAUCUGAACAUAUGAUCUUCCACCGAAUAAACCAACUAGCAUCAACUACAAGGAGUAAUCAACACUACUAGCAACCCACAGGUACCAAUCUGAGGUUUUGAGACAAAGAUCGGAUACAAGAGAUGAACUAGGGUUUGAGAGGAGAUGGUGCUGGUGAAGAUGUUGAUGGAUAUUGACCCCCUCUUGAUUAGAGGAUCAUUGGUGAUGACGAUGGCUUCGAUUUCCCCCUUUCGGAGGGAAGUUUCCUUGGCAGAACAGCUCCGCCGGAGCCCUAGAUUGGUUCUGCCCAAGUUCCGCCUCGAGACGGCGGCACUUCGUCCCGAAAGCUUCCCACUGGUACGCUUUGGUGCUAUGCAAAUGGUUUUUAACCCCUUUUCGCGAUGGUAUUUGGAACCAUCGCUAAGUGAGUGUGGGCAAUGGGGUGGUCCUUCCCACAUGAUCCAGAAACCGUCGGGGAUAGGGAGCCAAGAUGCAUGUACAGUACUCUUACUCGUUUGUGCUCACAUUGCCAUCGCAGUCGGUAUUCUGUGGUGCUACAUUUAUGAUGUGCGGCCCAUCACAAACGGUUCACUAUUAUAGAACGUGUAUGAUAAGCAUACAAUCACACACAUUCGCUUUUCACAAACCAUAUGCGGUAACUAAUUAAGAAGAUUAGCUAAUCGUCGUACGAGUGUCGGAUAGGAUUACGAAACGUUGGACCGUCGUAACAUCAUCAUACACGACAACUAUCACACACGCUAUUCUGUGGUGCAAUGUUUACGAUGCAUACUUCAUCAGAAACACUUCAUGGUUGCGAAUCGUGUAAGAUAAGGCAACUAUCGCACACACUAUUCUGUGGUGCAACGUUUACGAUGCAUACUUCAUCAAAAACAGUUCAUGGUUGCGAAUCGUGUACGAUAAGGCAACUAUCGCAAAAGGUUAGUUUGCCAGCACCGUUUGUCAUAUUAUCUAACAUCACACACGCUUUGCAAACAGCAACUGUGUGCGCGCUUGCACAUGUUUCCUCUCUGUGAACCGUCUCGGAUUAUGGUGUAUAUCACAAACGUUUGUGUUUUACCAACCGUGUGUGCCGUGACAACCUGGAGAGCGUAAUUUCACCGUAAUUUAAUUGCUGCUAUAUCAAAUUGAUAUUGAAAUUGAAAUUGAAUUUGCAUUUGAAUGUAUGCUAUAGCUUUAUUCAUCUCCAUCAGGUUCAGACAACCAAUGCAUUAUUCGAUUCAUAGGUACACAUCAAGAAUUACUUAAGAACCAAAUAAAGAAUGAUGAACCACAAUUGUAUACUUGUACUAUUAAAGAUGGUAAAGAAAGAGGCGAAAUACAUUUUGGUUGCUGAACAAGGUGAAGCGGAAUGCCCAUAUUGUGCCCUCCUCCAUGUAGAAGGCACGCACGACUCUAGUCCAACACCUUGUGAUGGCCGACCGUCCAUCCUUCACGGUCUUCAUGAAAAUAUCUAGAUAAUCAGUGUGUUCUGGUAGAAAUACUUUAACCUUUGCAUGCCCACCAAUCAUGUAGUUUGAGAGGUAAUCUUUAGUAAACUGCUUUGGGAACCACUGCAAAGGAAAAAAGAUUCAGACAUUGUCAUGUAAUGCAACUCAUUAUGGGCAGUAAAAAGAAGGUUGCAGAGUUCUUACUUACCAUCCUGCAGUUCGUUGUUGUAUUGGAUAAAGUGUAAACAAAUAGUUUAAUUGCCAUAUUUUGACCCAUUUUACUAACAAUCUUUAUCAACUUCCUCACUUGAUGCUGGUAAGUACGAGAUGACCAAACAGGAAAACACGGAUAUCUGUCAAGCCCAAGUGAAGGCCUACAUCGAAAUGCAAAGAGCUAAGAGACAUCCACCUCCAGAGGAGAAGAUAAAUCAGGUGAAAGUGAAGCACACUUUGGACGCCCUGCAGCGACCACCACCGUCUCCGCCGAAAACCAGCUAUGAGCGCGUUACUGCAAAGACAUAUAAGGAAGCGAAGCGGUCGGGAAGUACUUGCAGUGACAAAAGGUUACAAGAACGAAGAAGUGGGAAAAAAUUCCCCAUCUCGGCAAACAAGAGAACCAAUCGUGCCCCCCGCUCAAGGUGUCUAGCGAUAUCGUCGCUAAUCAUCCGAGGAUCUUUCCCGGUACCAAUCCUGUAGAUUACCUGCCCGACGAUGCACAUUUUGAUACAAUGGAGGUGGACGAAUUCAAAUACGAGUACGGGAAGCCUCUCGUUAAAGAUGGAACUAUUCUAACAACGAUGAUGCGAAGAUUCCAUGAUUGGUACAUGGGAACCUGCAGAAAGUUUGCAAGGGAGAAAAAAGGAUACUUUGACGCUGAAAGUUAAAGAGGGUCAUCACGACCUCAUUGGAAUUGAGCAGUUGUGUGUUUCAUUUGAGGAGUUCUUCCAGUUUUUCAAUCAGAAGGCCCUUGAUAAAUUAACGGUCACUUGCUACUAUCUGUAAGUACUACUUCUGUCAUUAAGUCUCUAUAUAUAGCUCAGCUCUUUCAUUGCAUGCAUAUAUAAUUAUCCUCACUAUAUUAUGCAGGUUGAAGAUCGUCGAAUGCAGAAAGGCUGAAAUGUAUGAUAUUGGGUUCAUUAACACAGAUCUCAUAGAUCAAUUUACGUUUACAUCUCAUGCCAAAGAAACUGAGGACAACUUGCUACGACCGUUGAUAAUAAAUCAAAAUAAAGAUACAAUACUCUUUCCUUACAACUUCAAGUGAGUGUUACUUACUUGUGCAUAUUUAGUUUCCCUUAAUUAUUACUCGAGUUUAUGUAAUUGAUGAGUUAUGCAUGCGUGCGCAACUUCCACUAUAUUCUCCUAGAGAUUAAGCUUGAACAGGGACUAGUAAAAGUCUUAGACUCGAGACGAAAAGAUCCCUCUGAAUAUGCAGACAUGUCUAAAAUGCUCGAGAAGUAAGUUGAAUCGAUCAUUAUCGCACCAUAUCGGCAACUUUGUUCAUUUCAUGAUAUCAGGUAAUUGUUUUCUUUGUCUUGCAGGGUUUGGAAAGUAUUCACCGCACAAGUUUCGGGACUGCCACGGGAACUGCGAUGGAUUUACCCAAAAGUAAGUACUACUAGCUAGCUAGUUCCGCGCAUCUCCCGUUGAUUCUAGCUACUUUCAUCAAUGCUCAUUUAUAAUGCUUCAUUAUCAGUUUGAUUGACCUCUAUUUCUCGUAAAGUGCUUGUGGCAGGAAGCCGAGAAUAAUUACUGUGGAUACUACGUCUGCGAGUUCAUCUACAACGCGACGGCCAAGAAUAGGUGGGGCUACUCUAAAAGACAAUAUAAAGUGCGUAAGCAAAAAUAUUCACAAGUUUAUUUUAUUACCAUCAUUUUCUGUUGAUUUCAUUCAUAUAUAUGUAUUGACCCCCUUCUUUAAAUUAGAUGUGGGAGAUGUGGAAUGAAAUCCUACCACAAGAUCGCAUGCGAGCAAUUCAAGAGGAAUUAGCUGGAUUCUUUCUUGACCACGUCAUCAAUAAAGCCGGAGAAUACCACCAUGCAUGUGGAACUUGAGUUCAUAUAUUAGGGUAUUGUAAGAGAUCUUACACAUUGUAUAUAUAUAUCUAGCCAGUAGCGUCGGAUAGAUAUACGAUAACUUGUUGUUCGACCAAUAUCUCGGAGAAGGAGAGGUCGAUCACUUCUGUAUAUGUUCAUGACGAUCUUCUGUACUUAAUAGUUUCCUUCAUUUGCUUAUAGCUAGCUAGUGUGUCGAGUCCUUUCUAUACGUAGCGUCGACCAAGCACGGAGAUAAGAGAGGACACUUUUCUCUAUUCGCUAGCUAACACAAUAUAUGAAACCCCUAAAUUAACCCUACAAAACCCCCCAACCCCCCCUCCUCUCUUUGAGAAAAAAACAAGCAAGCCUUUUCGUCCCGGUUGGUGGCACCAACUGGGACAAAAGGCCCCCCUGCCUGGGCAAGCGGCAGCGGCCACGUGGAGCCCCCAUCUGUCCCGGUUCCUGGGCAAACCGAGACUAAAAGUGCAGGACUUUAGUAAUGAACCUUUAGUCUCGGUUCAAGAACCGAGACUAAAGGCCCUCACGAACCGGUACGAAUGGGCCUUAGUUGAGUUGCAACCUUUCAGUAUAACUCCACUAUUCACUGUGUUUAAAACUUCAGUCACUAUUUCAUCUCCCAACACAGGCCAGAACUGAUGGGGAACGUUGCAAAAAAUAAAAAGUUUCCUACGGUUUCACCAAGAUCAAUCUAUGAGUUCAUCUAGCAACAAGAGAGAGGAGUGCAUCUACAUACCCUUGUAGAUCGAGCGGAAGCGUUAAAGGGAACAGGGUUGAGGGAGUCGUACUCGUCGUGAUCCAAAUCACCGGAGAUCCUAGUGGCGAACGGACGACACCUCCGCGUUCAACACACGUAUGGUCAGGGAGACGUCUCCUCCUUCUUGAUCCAGCAAGGGGGAAGGAGAGGUUGAUGAAGAUCCAGCAGCACGACGGCUUGGUGGUGGAUGCAGCAGGGAUCUCGGUAGGGCUUCGCCAAGCGUCUGCAAGAGGGAGAGGUGUAGCAAUGGGGAAGGGAGGCGCCAAGUGCAUGGGUGCGGCUGCCCUCCCUCCUCCCAUCUUUAUAUAGGGCCCCUAGGGGGGGCGCCUAUUGGGGAACGUAGUAAUUUCAAAAAAAUUCCUACGUACACGAAAGAUCAUGGUGAUGGCAUAGAAACGAGAGGAGAGAGUGUUGUCCAUGUACCCUCGUAGACCGUAAGCGGAAGUGUUAUGACAACGUGGUUGAUGUAGUCGUACGUCUUCACGAUCCGACCGAUCCAAGUACCGAACGUACGGCACCUCCGAGUUCAGCACACGUUCAGCUCGAUGACGAUCCCCGGGCUCCGAUCCAGCAAAGCUUCGGGGAUGAGUUCCGUCAGCACGACGGCGUGGUGACGAUGAUGAUGCUCUACCGGCGCAGGGCUUCGCCUAAACUUCGCGACGAUAUGACCGAGGUGGAAUAUGGUGGAGGGGGGCACCGCACACGACUAAGGAACGAUCCGUAGAUCAGCUUGUGUGUCUAUGGGGUGCCCCCCGCCCCCGUAUAUAAAGGAGCCAGGGGGGAGGAGGCGGCCGGCCAAGGAGGGCGCGCCAAGGGGGGAGUCCUACUCCCAUCGGGAGUAGGACUCCCUUCUUUCCUAGUUGGAAUAGGAGAAGGGGGAAAGAGGAGGAAGAGGGGAAGGAAAGGGGGGGUGCCGCCCCCCUUCCCUUGUCCUAUUCGGACUAGGAAGGGGAGGGGCGCGCGUCCCCCUCCUGACUCCUUCCCUCUUCUCCCUCGAGGCCCAUGUAGGCCCAAUAACCCCCCGGGGGGUUCCGGUAACCUCCCGGUACUCCGGUAAAAUGCCGAUUUCACCUGGAACGAUUCCGAUGUCCAAAUAUAGGCUUCCAAUAUAUCGAUCUUUAUGUCUCGACCAUUUCGAGACUCCUCGUUAUGUCCGUGAUCACAUCCGGGACUCCGAACAAACUUCGGUACAUCAAAACUUAUAAACUCAUAAUAAAACUGUCAUCGUAACGUUAAGCGUGCGGACCCUACGGGUUCGAGAACUAUGUAGACAUGACCUAGAACUAUUCUCGGUCAAUAACCAAUAGCGGAACCUGAAUGCCCAUAUUGGUUCCUACAUAUUCUACGAAGAUCUUUAUCGGUCAAACCGCAUAACAACAUACGUUGUUCCCUUUGUCAUCGGUAUGUUACUUGCCCGAGAUUUGAUCUUCGGUAUCCAAUACCUAGUUCAAUCUCGUUACCGGCAAGUCUCUUUACUUGUUCCGUAAUGCAUCAUUCCAUAACCAACUCAUUUGGUCACAUUGCUUGCAAGGCUUAUAAAGAUGUGCAUUACCGAGAGGGCCCAGAGAUACCUCUCCGACAAUCGGAGUGACAAAACCUAAUCUCGAAAUACGCCAACUCAACAUGUACCUUCGGAGACACCUGUAGUACUCCUUUAUAAUCACCCAGUUACGUAGUGACGUUUGGUAGUACCCAAAGUGUUCCUCCGGUAAACGGGAGUUGCAUAAUCUCAUAGUUACAGGAACAUGUAUAAGUCAUGAAGAAAACAAUAGCAACAUACUAAACGAUCAAGUGCUAGGCUAACGGAAUGGGUCAUGUCAAUCACAUUAUUCUCCUAAUGAUGUGAUCCCAUUAAUCAAAUGACAACACAUGUCUAUGGUUAGGAAACACAAACAUCUUUGAUUAAUGAGCUAGUCAAGUAGAGGCAUACUAGUGACUAUAUGUUUGUCUAUGUAUUCACACAAGUAUCAUGUUUCUGGUUAAUACAAUUCUAGCAUGAAUAAUAAACAUUUAUCAUGAAAUAAGGAAAUAAAUAAUAACUUUACUAUUGCCUCUAGGGCAUAUUUCCUUCAGUCUCCCACUUGCACUAGAGUCAAUAAUUUAGUUCACAUCGCUAUGUGAUUUAACACCAAUAUUCACAUCUGCAUGUGAUUAAUACCCAUAGUUCACAUCAUCAUGUGAUCAACACCCAAAGGGUUAACUAGAGUCAAUAAUCUAGUUCACAUCGCUAUGUGAUUAACACCCAAAAGAGUACUAAGGUAUGAUCAUGUUUUGCUCGUGAGAGAAGCUUAGUCAACGGGUCUGUCAUAUUCAGAGCCGUAUGUAUUUCGCAAAUAUUCUAUGUCCACAAUGCUCUGCACGGAGCUACUCUAGCUAAUUGCUCCCACUUUCAAUAUGUCUCCAGAUUGAGACUUAGAGUCAUCUGGAUUGGUGUAAAAGCUUGCAUCGUUGUAACUUUUACGACGGGCUCUUUUAUCACCUCCAUAAUCGAGAAACAUCUCCUUAGUCCUCACUAAGGAUAUUCUUGACCCAUAUCCAGUGAUCUACUUAUUAGAUCAAAAUUGUAUUCCUUUGCCAAACACAGAGCAAGGUAUACAAUAGGUCUGGUUCACAGCAUAGCAUACUUUAUAGAACCUAUGACUGAGGCAUAGGGAAUGACUUUUCAUUCUCUUUCUAUUUUCUGCAAUGGUCGGGUCUUGAGUCUUACUCAACUUCACACCUUGUAACACAGGCAAGAACUCCUUCUUUGACUGUUCCAUUUUGAACUAUUUCAAAAAUUUAUCAAGGUAUGUACUCAUUGAUAAAUCUUAUCAAGCGUCUUGAUCUAUCUAUAUAGAUCUUGAUGCUCAAUGUGUAAGCAGCUUCACCGAGGUCUUGCUUUGGAAAACUCUUAUUCAAGUAUCCUUUCAUGCUAUCCAGAAUUUCCAUAUCAUUUCCAAUUAACAAUAUGUCAUCCACAUAUAAUAUUAGAAAUGCUACAGAGCUCCCACUCACUUUCUUGUAAAUACAGGCUUCUUCAAAAGUCUGUAUAAAACCAUAUGCUUUGAUCAACUCAUCAAAGCGUAUAUUCCAACUCCGAGAUGCUUGCACCAGUCCAUUGAUGGAUUGCUGGAGCUUGCACACUUUGUUAGCAUCUUUAGGAUUGACAAAAACUUUCUGGUUGCAUCAUAUACAACUCUUCUUUAAUAAAUCCAUUAAGGAAUGCAGUUUUGACAUCCAUUUGCCAGAUUUCAUAAAAUGUGGAAAUUGCUAACAUGAUUCAGACAGACUUAAGCUUCGAUACGAGUGAGAAAAUCUCAUCGUAUUCAACACCUUGAACUUGUUGAAAACAUUUCGCAACAAGUCGAGCUUAGUAGAUAGUAACACUACUAUCAAUGUCCGUCUUCCUCUUGAAGAUCCAUUUAUUUAACAUGGCUUGCUGAUCAUCGAGCAAGUCAAUCAAAGUCCAUACUUUGUUCUCAUACAUGGAUCAUAUCUCAGAUUUUAUGGCCUCAAGCCAUUUCGUGGAAUCUGGGCUCAUCAUAGCUUCCUCAUAGCUCAUAGGUUCAUCAUGGUCUAGUAACAUGACUUCCAGAACAGGAUUACCGUACCACUCUGGUGCGGAUCUUACUCUAGAAGACCUACGAGGUUCUGUAGUAACUUAAUCUGAAGUUUCAUGAUCAUCAUCAUUAACUUCCUCACUAAUUGGUGUAGUAGUCACAGGAACAGAUUUCUGUGAUGAACUACUUUCCAAUAAGGGAGCAGGUACAGUUACCUCAUCAAGUUCUACUUUCCUCCCACUCACUUCUUUCGAGAGAAACUCCUUCUCUAGAAAGGAUCCAUUCUUAGCAAUGAAUAACUUGCCUUCCGAUCUGUGAUAGAAGGUGUACCCAAUAGUUAACUUUGGGUAUUCUAUGAAGACGCACUUCUCCGAUUUGGGUUUGAGCUUAUCAGGUUGAAACUUUUUUCAUAUAAGCAUCGCAACUCCAAACUUUUAAGAAACGACAUCUUAAGUUUACUUCUAAACCAUAGUUCAUACGAUGUCGUCUCAACGGAUUUAGAUGGUGCCCUUUUAACGUGAAUGCAGCUGUCUCUAAUGCACAACCCCAAAACGAUAGUGGUAAAACCGAUAAGAGACAUCAUAGAUCGCACCAUAUCCAAUAAAGUGCGGUUACGACGUUCGGACACACCAUAACGUUGUGGUGUUCCAGGUGGCGUGAGCUGUGAAACUAUUCCACAUUGUUUUAACUAAAGACCAAACUCGUAGCUCAAAUAUUCGUCUCCGCGAUCAGAUCGUAGAAACUUUAUAUUUUCUUGUUAUGAUGAUUUUUCCACUUCACUCUGAAAUUCUUUGAACCUUUCAAUUAUUUCAGACUUAUGUUUCAUCAAGUAGAUAUACCCAUAUCUACUCAAAUCAUUUUGUGAAGGUCAGAAAAUAAUGAUACUUGCCACGAGCAUCAACACUCAUUGGAUCGCAUACAUCGGUAUGUAUUAUUUCCAAUAAGUCAGCAGCUUGUUCCAUUGUUCCGGAGAACGGAGUUUUUAGUCAUCUUGCCCAAAAGGCACGGUUCGCAAGCAUCAAAUGAUUCAUAACCAAGUGAUUCCGAAAAUCCAUCUUUAUGGAGUUUCUUCAUGCGCUUUACACUGAUAUGACCCAAACGGCAGUGCCACAAAUAAGUUGCACUAUCAUUAUCAACUUUGCAUCUUUUGACAUCAAUAUUAUGAAUAUGUGUAUCACUACGACCGAGAUCCAACAAACUAUUUUUGUUGGGUGUAUGACCAUCAAAGGUUUUAUUCAUUUAAACAGAACAACAAUUAUUCUCCGAUUUUAAAUGAAUAACCGUAUUGCAAUAAACAUGAUCAAAUCAUAUUCAUGCUCAACGCAAACACCAAAUAACAUUUAUUUAGGUUCAACACUAAUCUCGAAAGUAUAGGGAGUGUGCGAUGAUGAUCAUAUCAAUCUUGGAACCACUUCCAACAUACAUCGUCACUUCACCCUCAACUAGUUUCUGUUUAUUCUGUAACUCCUGUUUCGAGUUACUAAUCUUAGCAACCGAACAAGUAUCAAAUACUCAGGGGUUACUAUAAACACUAGUAAGGUACACAUCAAUAACAUGUACAUCAAAUAUACCCUUGUUCACUUUGCCAUCCUUCUUAUCCACCAAAUAUUCAAGGCAUUUCCGCUUCUAGUGACCAUUUCCUUUGUAGUGUAAGCACUCAGUUUCAGGCUUUGGUUCAGCUUUGGGCUUCUUCAUGGGAGUGAAAACUUGCUUGUCAUUCUACUUGAAGUUCCCCUUUCUUUCCCUUUGCCCUUUUUCUUGAAACUAGUGAUCUUGUCAACCAUCAACACUUGAUGCUCUUUCUUGAUUUCUAACUUCAUUGAUUUCAACAUCACGAAGCGCUCGGGAAUCAUUUUCGUCAUCCCUUGCAUACUAUAGUUCAUCACAAAGUUCUACUAACUUGGUGAUGGUGACUAGAGAAUUCUGUCAAUCACUAUCUUAUCUGGAAGAUUAACUCCCACUUGAUUCAAGCGAUUGAAGUACCCAGACAAUCUGAGCACAUGCUCACUAGUUGAGCGAUUCUCCUCCAUCUUUUAGCUAUAGAACUUGUUGGAGACUUCAUAUCUCUCAACUCGGGUAUUUGCUGGAAAUAUUAACUUCAACUCUUGGAACAUCUCAUAUGGUCCAUGACAUUCAAAACGUCUUUGAAGUCCCGAUUCUAAGCCCUUAAGCAUGGUGCACUAAACUAUCAAGUAGUCAUCAUAUUGAGCUAGCCAAACGUUCAUAACGUCUGCAUCUGCUCCUGCAAUAGGUCUAUCACCUAGUGGUGCAUUAAGGACAUAAUUCUUCUGUGUAGCAAUGAGGAUAAACCUCAGAUCACGGAUCCAAUCCGCAUCAUUGCUACUAACAUCUUUCAACACUAUUUUCUCUAGGAACAUAUUGAAAUAAACAUAUGAAAGCAACAACACAAGCUAUUGAUCUACAACAUAAUUUGCAAAAUACUACCAGGACUAAGUUCAUGAUAAAUUUAAGUUCAAUUAAUCAUAUUACUUAAGAACUCCCACUUAGACAGACAUCUCUCUAGUCAUCUAAGUGAUCACGUGAUCCAAAUCAACUAAACCAUGUCCGAUCAUCACGUGAGAUGGAGUAGUUUCAAUGGUGAACAUCAUUAUGUUGAUCAUAUCUACUAUAUGAUUCACGCUCGACCUUUCGGUCUCCGUGUUCCGAGGCCAUAUCUGUAUAUGCUAGGCUCGUCAAGUUUAACCCGAGUAUUCUGCGUGUGCAACUGUUUUGCACCCGUUGUAUUUGAACGUAGAGCCUAUCACACCCGAUCAUCACGUGGUGUCUCAGCACGAAGAACUUUCGCAACGGUGCAUACUCAGGGAGAACACUUCUUGAUAAUUAGUGAGAGAUCAUCUUAUAAUGCUACCGUCAAACAAAACAGAAUAAGAUGUAUAAUAGAUAAACAUCAUAUGCAAUCAAAAUAUGUGACAUGAUAUGGCCAUGAUCAUCUUGCGCCUUUUGUUCUCCAUCUCCAAAGUACUAUCAUGAUCUCCAUCGUUACCGGCACGACACCAUGAUCUUCAUCAUCUUGAUCUAUAUCAAUGUGUCGUCACAUGGUCGUCUCGCCAGCUAUUGCUCUUGCAACUAUUGCUAUCGCAUAGCGAUAAACUGAAGCAAUUAUUUGGCACUUGCAUCUUAUGCAACAAAGAGACAACCAUAGGGCUUCUGCCAGUUGCCGAUAACUUCAACAAAACAUGAUCAUCUCAUACAACAACUUAUAUCUCAUCACGUCUUGACCAUAUCACAUCACAACAUGCCCUGCAAAAACAAGUUAGACGUCUUCUACUUUGUUGUUGCAAAUUUUACGUGGCUGCUACGGGCUGAGCAAGAACCGUUCUUACCUACGCAUCAAAACCACAACGAUAGUUCGUCAAGUUAGUGUUGUUUUAACCUUGGCAAGGACCGGGCGUAGCCACACUCGGUUCAACUAAAGUGAGAGAAACAGACACCCGCCAGCCACCUUUAAGCACGAGUGCUCGCAAUGGUGAAACCAGUCUCGCGUAAGCGUACGCGUAAUGUCGGUCCGGGCUGCUUCAUCUCAUAAUAUCGCCGAACCAAAGUAUGACAUGCUGGUAAGCAGUAUGACUUGUAUCACCCACAACUCACUUGUGUUCUACUCGUGCAUAUGACAUCUACGCAUAAAACCAAGGCUCGGAUGCCACUGUUGGGGAACGUAGUAAUUUCAAAAAAUUUCCAACAUUCACGCAAGAUCAUGGUGAUGGCAUAGCAACGAGAGGAGAGAGUGUUGUCCACGUACCCUCGUAGACCAUAAGCGGAAGCGUUAUGACAACGCGGUUGAUGUAGUCGUACGUCUUCAUGAUUCGACCGAUCCAAGUACCAAACGUACGGCACCUCCGAGUUCAGCACACGUUCAGCUCGAUGACGAUCCCCGGGCUCCGAUCCAGCAAAGCUUCGGGGAUGAGUUCCGUCAGCACGACGGUGUGGUGACGAUGAUGAUGCUCUACCGGCGCAGGGCUUCGCCUAAACUCCGCGACGAUAUGACCGAGGUGGAAUAUGGUGGAGGGGGGCACCGCACAUGGCUAAGGAACGAUCCGUAGAUCAGCUUGUGUGUCUAUGGGGUGCCCCCCCGCCCCCGUAUAUAAAGGAGCCAGGGGGGAGGAGGCGGCCGGCCAAGGAGGGCGCGCCAAGGGGGGAGUCCUACUCCCACCGGGAGUAGGACUCCCUUCUUUCCUAGUUGAAAUAGGAGAAGGGGGGAAAGAGGAGGAAGAGGGGAAGGAAAGGGGGGGCGCCGCCCCCCUUCCCUUGUCCUAUUCGGACUAGGAAGGGGAGGGGCGCGCGGCCCCCUCCUGCCUCCUUCCCUCUUCUCCCUCGAGGCCCAUGUAGGCCCAAUAACCCCCCGGGGGGUUCCGGUAACCUCCCGGUACUCCGGUAAAAUGCCGAUUUCACCCGGAACGAUUCCGAUGUCCAAAUAUAGGCUUCCAAUAUAUCGAUCUUUAUGUCUUGACCAUUUCGAGACUCCUCGUUACGUCCGUGAUCACAUCCGGGACUCCGAACAAACUUCGGUACAUCAAAACUUAUAAACUCGUAAUAAAACUGUCAUCGUAACGUUAAGCGUGCGGACCCUACGGGUUCGAGAACUAUGUAGACAUGACCUAGAACUAUUCUCGGUCAAUAACCAAUAGCGGAACCUGGAUGCCCAUAUUGGUUCCUACAUAUUCUACGAAGAUCUUUAUCGGUCAAACCGCAUAACAACAUACGUUCUUCCCUUUGUCAUCGGUAUGUUACUUGCCCGAGAUUUGAUCGUCGGUAUCCAAUACCUAGUUCAAUCUCGUUACUGGCAAGUCUCUUUACUCAUUCCGUAAUGCAUAAUUCCAUAACCAACUCAUUUGGUCACAUUGCUUUCAAGGCUUAUAAAGAUGUGCAUUACCGAGAGGGCCCAGAGAUACCUCUCCGACAAUCGGAGUGACAAAACCUAAUCUCAAAAUACGCCAACUCAACAUGUACCUUCGGAGACACCUGUAGUACUCCUUUAUAAUCACCCAGUUAUGUUGUGACGUUUGGUAGUACCCAAAGUGUUCCUCCGGUAAACAGGAGUUGCAUAAUCUCAUAGUUACAGGAACAUGUAUAAGUCAUGAAGAAAACAAUAGCAACAUACUAAACGAUCAAGUGCUAGGCUAACGGAAUGGGUCAUGUCAAUCACAUUAUUCUCCUAAUGAUGUGAUCCCAUUAAUCAAAUGACAACACAUGUCUAUGGUUACGAAACAUAACCAUCUUUGAUUAAUGAGCUAGUCAAGUAGAGGCAUACUAGUGACUAUAUGUUUGUCUACGUAUUCACACAUGUAUCAUGUUUCCGGUUAAUACAAUUCUAGCAUGAAUAAUAAACAUUUAUCAUGAAAUAAGGAAAUAAAUAAUAACUUUACUAUUGCCUCUAGGGCAUAUUUCCUUCAGCGCCGGCCCUAGGAGAUGGGAUCUCCUAGGGGGGGCGGCGGCCAAGGGAGGUGCCUUGCCCCCCAAGGCAAGUGGAGGCACCCCCACCCUAGGGUUUCCAACCCUAGGCAUAGGGGGGCCCAAGGGGGGGCGCACCAGCCCACCUGGGGCUGGUUCCCCUCCCACUUCAGCCCAUGGGGCCCUCCAGGAUAGGUGGCCCAACCCGGUGGACCCCCGGGACCCUUCCGGUGGUCCCGGUAUAAUACCGGUGACCCCCAAAACUUUCCCGAUGGCCGAAACUCGACUUACUAUAUAUAAUUCUUUACCUCCGAACCAUUCUAGAACUCCUCGUGACGUCUGAGAUCUCAUCCGAGACUCCGAACAACUUUUGGUUUACUGCAUACUCAUAUCUCUACAACCCUAGCAUCACCGAACCUUAAGUGUGUAGACCCUACGGGUUCGGGAGACAUGCAGACAUGACCGAGACGCCUCUCCAAUCAAUAACCAACAGCGGGAUCUGGAUACCCAUGUUGGCUCCCACAUGCUCCUCGAUGAUCUAAUCGUAUGAACCACGAUGUCGAGGAAUCAAACAACCCCGUAUACAAUUCCCUUUGUCAAUCGGUACGUUACUUGCCCGAGACUCGGUCGUCGGUAUCCCAAUACCUCGUUUAAUCUCGUUACCGGCAAGUCACUUUACUCGUACCGUAAUGCAUGAUCCCGUGAACAGACACUUGGUCUCAUUGAGCUCAUUAUGAUGAUGCAUUACCGAGUGGGCCCAGAGAUACCUCUCCGUCAUACGGAGUGACAAAUCCUAGUCUCGAUUCGUGCCAACCCAACAGACACUUUCGGAGAUACCCGUAGUGCACCUUUAUAGUCACACAGUUACGUUGUGACGUUUGGCACACCCAAAGCACUCCUACGGUAUCCGGGAGUUGCACAAUCUCAUGGUCUAAGGAAAUGAUACUUGACAUUUGGAAAAGCUCUAGCUAAACGAACUACACGAUCUUUGAGCUAUGCUUAGGAUUGGGUCUUGUCCAUCACAUCAUUCUCCUAAUGAUGUGAUCCCGUUAUCAAUGACAUCCAAUGUCCAUAGUUAGGAAACCAUGACUAUCUGUUGAUCAACGAUCUAGUCAACUAGAGGCUCACUAGGGACAUGUUGUGGUCUAUGUAUUCACACGUGUAUUACGAUUUCCGGAUAAUACAAUUAUAGCAUGAAUAACAGACAAUUAUCAUGAACAAAGAAAUAUAAUAAUAACCAUUUUAUUAUUGCCUCUAGGGCAUAUUUCCAAUAGUCUCCCACUUGCACUAGAGUUCAAUAAUCUAGUUACAUUGUGAUGAAUCGAACACCCAUGGAAUUCUGGUGUUGAUCAUGUUUUGCCCUAAGGAGAGGUUUAGUCAAUGGACCUGCCACAUUCAGGUCCGUAUGUACUUUACAAAUAUCUAUGUCUCCAUCUUGAACAUUUUCACGAAUGGAGUUAAAGCAACGCUUGAUGUGCCUGGUCUUCUUGUGAAACCUGGGCUCCUUGGCAAGUGCAAUAGCUCCAGUGUUGUCACAGAAGAGUUUGAUUGGCCCCGACGCAUUGGGUAUGACUCCUAGGUCGGUGAUGAACUCCUUCACCCAGAUUGCUUCAUGCGCUGCUUUCGAGGCUGCCAUGUACUCCGCUUCACAUGUAGAUCCCGCCACGACGCUUUGCUUGCAACUGCACCAGCUUACUGCCCCACCAUUCAGAAUAUACACGUAUCCGGUUUGUGACUUCGAGUCAUCCAGAUCUGUGUCGAAGCUAGCAUCGAUGUAACCCUUUACGACAAGCUCUUCGUCACCUCCAUAGACGAGAAACAUGUCCUUUGUCCUUUUCAGGUACUUCAGGAUAUUCUUGACCGUUGUCCAGUGUUCCUUGCCGGGAUUACUUUGGUACCUUCCUACCAAACUUACGGCAAGGUUUACAUCAGGUCUGGUACACAGCAUGGCAUACAUAAUAGAUCCUAUGGCUGAGGCAUAGGGGAUGACACUCAUCUCUUCUUUAUCUUCUGCCGUGGUCGGGCAUUGAGCCGACCUCAAUCUCACACCUUGCAAUACAGGCAAGAACCCUUUCUUGGACUAAUCCAUAUUGAACUUCUUUAAUAUCUUAUCAAGGUAUGUGCUUUGUGAAAGACCUAUGAGGCGUCUCGAUCUAUCCCUAUAGAUCUUGAUGCCUAAUAUGUAAGCAGCUUCUCCAAGGUCCUUCAUUGAAAAACACUUAUUCAAGUAGGCCUUAAUGCUGUCCAAAAGUUCUGUAUCAAUUCCCAUCAAAAGUAUGUCAUCUACAUAUAAUAUGAGAAAUGCUACAGAGCUCCCACUCACUUUCUUGUAAACGCAGGCUUCUCCAUAAGUCUGCAUAAACCCAAACGCUUUGAUCAUCUCAUCAAAGCGAAUGUUCCAACUCCGAGAUGCUUGCACCAGCCCAUAAAUGGAUCGCUGGAGCUUGCAUACCUUGUUAGCAUUCUUAGGAUCGACAAAACCUUCCGGUUGCAUCAUAUAUAGUUCUUCCUUAAGAUAACCGUUAAGGAAUGCCGUUUUGACGUCCAUCUGCCAUAUCUCAUAAUCAUAGUAUGCGGCAAUUGCUAACAUGAUUCGGAUGGGCUUCAGCUUCGCUACGGGAGAGAAAGUCUCAUCGUAGUCAACCCCUUGAACUUGCCGAUAACCCUUAGCGACAAGUCAAGCUUUAUAGAUGGUAACAUUACCAUCCAUGUCCGUCUUCUUCUUAAAGAUCCAUUUGUUUUCUAUCGCUCGCCGAUCAUCGGGCAAGUCUGUAAAAGUCCAUACUUUGUUUUCAUACAUGGAUUCUAUCUCGGAUUGCAUGGCUUCAAGCCAUUUGUUGGAAUCUGGGCCCGCCAUCGCUUCUUCAUAGUUCGAAGGUUCAUCGUUGUCUAACAACAUGAUCUCCAGGACAGGGUUGCCAUACCACUCUGGUGUGGAACGUGUCCUUGUGGACCUACGAAGUUCAGUAGCAACUUGAUCCGAAGUACCUUGAUCAUCAUCAUUAAUUUCCUCUCCAGUCAGUGUAGGCACCACAUGAUCAUCUUCCUGAGCUGAGCUACUUACCGGUUCAAGAGGUAGUACUUCAUCAAGUUCCACUUUCCUCCCGCUUACUUCUCUCGAGAGAAACUCUUUCUCCAGAAAGGACCCGUUCUUGGCAACAAAGAUCUUGCCUUCGGAUCUAAGGUAGAAGGUAUACCCAAUGGUUUCCUUAGGGUAUCCUAUGAAGACGCAUUUUUCCGACUUGGGUUCGAGCUUUUCAGGUUGAAGUUUCUUGACAUAAGCAUCGCAUCCCCAAACUUUCAGAAACGAUAGCUUAGGUUUCUUCCCAAACCAUAAUUCAUACGGUGUCGUCUCAACGGAUUUAGACGGUGCCCUAUUUAAAGUGAAUGUAGCUGUCUCUAGAGCGUAUCCCCAAAAAGAUAGCGGUAAAUCGGUAAGAGACAUCAUAGAUCGCACCAUAUCCAAUAAAGUGCGAUUACGACGUUCGGACACACCGUUACGCUGAGGUGUUCCAGGCGGCGUGAGUUGUGAAACGAUUCCACAUUUCCUUAAGUGCGUACCAAAUUCAUGACUUAAAUAUUCUCCUCCAUGAUCUGAUUGUAAGAACUUUAUUUUUCGGUCACAUUGAUUCUCUACCUCAUUCUGAAACUCCUUGAACUUUUCAAAGGUCUCAGACUUGUGUUUCAUCAAGUAGACAUACCCAUAUCUACUCAAGUCAUCAGUGAGAGUGAGAACAUAACGAUAUCCUACACGAGCCUCAACGCUCAUUGGACCGCACACAUCAGUAUGUAUGGUUGCUCGCUCCAUUGUUCCGGAGAACGGAGUCUUGGUCAUUUUGCCCAUGAGACAUGGUUCGCAUGUGUCAAAUGAUUCAUAAUCAAGAGACUCUAAAAGUCCAUCGGCAUGGAGCUUCUUCAUGUGCUUGACACCAAUGUGACCAAGGCGGCAAUGCCACAAGUAUGUGGGACUAUCGUUAUCAACUUUACAUCUUUUGGUAUUCACACCAUGAAUAUGUGUAACAUCACGUUUGAGAUUCAUUAAGAAUAAACCAUUGACCAUCGGGGCAUGACCAUAAAACAUAUCUCUCAUAUAAAUAGAACAACCAUUAUUCUCGGAUUUAAAUGAGUAGCCAUCUCGUAUUAAACGAGAUCUAGAUACAAUGUUCAUGCUCAAAGUUGGCACUAAAUAACAAUUAUUGAGGUUUAAAACUAAUCCCGUAGGUAAAUGUAGAGGUAGCGUGCCGACGGCUAUCACAUCGACCCUGGAACCAUUCCCGACGCGCAUCGUCACCUCGUCCUUCGCUAGUCUCUGCUUAUUCCGCAGCUCCUGCUGUGAGUUACAAAUAUGAGCAACGGCACUGGUAUCAAAUACCCAGGAGCUACUACGAGCACUAGUAAGGUACACAUCAAUUACAUGUAUAUCACAUAUACCUUUAGUGUUGCCGGCCUUCUUGUCCGCUAAGUAUUUGGGGCAGUUCCGCUUCCAGUGACCCUUCCCUUUGCAAUAAAAGCACUCAGUCUCAGGCUUGGGUCCAUUCUUUGACUUCUUCCCGGCAGCUGGCUUACCAGGAGCGGAAACUUCCUUGUCGUCCUUCUUGAAGUUCUUAUUACCCUUGCCUUUCUUGAACUUAGUGGUUUUAUUCACCAUCAACACUUGAUGUUCCUUUUUGAUCUCUACUUCUGCUGAUUUCAGCAUUGAAUAUACUUCAGGAAUGGUCUUUUCCAUCCCCUGCAUAUUGAAGUUCAUCACAAAGCUCUUGUAGCUUGGUGGAAGCGACUGAAGGACUCUGUCAAUAACUGCGUCAUCCGGGAGAUUAACUCCCAGCUGAGUCAAGCGCUUGUGCAACCCAGACAUUUUGAGUAUGUGCUCACUGACAGAACUAUUUUCCUCCAUCUUACAGCUGAAGAACUUGUCGGAGACUUCAUAUCUCUCGACCCAGGCAUGAGCUUGGAAAACCAUUUUCAGCUCUUCGAACAUCUCAUAUGCUCCGUGUUGCUCAAAAUGCUUUUGGAGCCCCGGUUCUAAGCUGUAAAGCAUGCCACACUGAACGAGGGAGUAAUCAUCAGCACAAGACUGCCAAGCGUUCAUGACGUCUUGGUUCUCUGGGAUGGGAGCUUCACCUAGCGGUGCUUCUAAGACAUAAUCUUUCUUUGCAGCUAUGAGGAUGAUCCUCAGGUUCCGGACCCAGUCCGUAUAGUUGCUGCCAUCAUCUUUCAGCUUGGUUUUCUCUAGGAACGCGUUGAAGUUGAGGUGGACAUGAGCAUUGGCCAUUUGAUCUACAAGACAUAUUUGCAAAGGUUUUUAGACUAAGUUCAUGAUAAUUAAGUUCAUCUAAUCAAAUUAUUUAAUGAACUCCCACUUAGAUUAGACAUCCCUCUAGUCAUCUAAGUGAUACAUGAUCCGAGUCGACUAGGCCGUGUCCAAUCAUCAUGUGAGACGGACUAGUCAUCAUCGGUGAACAUCUCCAUGUUGAUCGUAUCUUCCAUACGACUCGUGUUCGACCUUUCGGUCUCUUGUGUUCCGAGGCCAUGUCUGUACAUGCUAGGCUCGUCGAGUUAACCUAAGUGUUUUGCAUGUGUAAAUCUGUCUUACACCCAUUGUAUGUGAACGUUAGAAUCUAUCACACCCGAUCAUCACGUGGUGCUUCGAAACGACAAACUUUCGCAACGGUGCACAGUUAGGGGGAACACUUUCUUGAAAUUAUUAUGAGGGAUCAUCUUAUUUACUACCGUCGUUCUAAGUAAACAAGAUGCAUAAACAUAAUAAACAUCACAUGCAAUUAAACAGUGACAUGAUAUGGCCAAUAUCAUAUAGCUCCUUUGAUCUCCAUCUUCGGGGCUCCAUGAUCAUCUUCGUCACCGGCAUGACACCAUGAUCUCCAUCAUCAUGAUCUCCAUCAUCGUGUCUCCACGAAGUUGCUCGCCAACUAUUACUUCUACUACUAUGGCUAAUGGUUUAGCAAUAAAGUAAAGUAAUUACAUGGCGUUAAAUCAUUGACACGCAGGUCAUACAAUAAUUAAGACAACUCCUAUGGCUCCUGCCGGUUGUCAUACUCAUCGACAUGCAAGUCGUGAUUCCUAUUACAAGAACAUGAUCUCAUACAUCACAUAUAUAUCAUUCAUCAUUCGUCACAACUUUUGGCCAUAUCACAUCACAAAUCAUAUGCUGCAAAAACAAGUUAGACGUCCUCUAAUUGUUGUUGCAUGUUUUACGUGGCUGCAAUAGGGUUCUAGCAAGAACGUUUGCUUACCUACGUAAAAGCCACAACGUGAUUUGUUAACUUCUAUUUACCCUUCAUAAGGACCCUUUUCAUCGAAUCCGCUCCAACUUAAGUGGGAGAGACAGACACCCGCUAGCCACCUUAUGCAACUAGUGCAUGUCAGUCGGUGGAACCUGUCUCACGUAAGCGUACGUGUAAGGUCGGUCCGGGCCGCUUCAUACCACAAUACCGCUGAAGCAAAAUAAGACUAGUAGUGGCAAGAAAGUUGACAACAUCUAUGCCCACAACAAAUUUGUGUUCUACUCGUGCAAAGAGAACUACGCAUAGACCUAGCUCAUGAUGCCACUGAUGGGGAAGUUGCACAAAAUAAAAAUUUUCCUACGGUUUCACCAAGAUCAAUCUAUGAGUUCAUCUAGCAACGAGAGAGAGGAGUGCAUCUACAUACCCUUGUAGAUCGAGCGUAAGCGUUCAAGGGAACGGGGUUGAGGGAGUCGUACUCGUCGUGAUCCAAAUCACCGGAGAUCCUAGCGCCGAACGGACGGCACCUCCGCGUUCAGCACACGUACGGUCAGGGAGACGUCUCCUCCUUCUUGAUCCAACAAGGGGGAAGGAGAGGUUGAUGAAGAUCCUGCAACACGACGGCUUGGUGGUGGAUGCAGCAGGGAUCCCGGCAGGGCUUUGCCAAGCGUCUGUGAGAGGGAGAGGUGUAGCAAGGGGGAAGGGAGGCACCAAGUGCAUGGGUGCGGCUGCCCUCCCUCCUCCCCUCUUUAUAUAGGGCCCCUAGGGGGGGCGCCGGCCCUAGGAGAUGGGAUCUCCUAGGGGGGGGGCGGCGGCCAAGGGGGGUGCCUUGCCCCCCAAGGCAAGUGGAGGCGCCCCCCACCCUAGGGUUUCCAGCCCUAGGCGCAGGGGGGGUCCAAGGGGGGCGCACCAGCCCACCUGGGGCUGGUUCCCCUCCCACUUCAGCCCAUGGGGCCCUCCGGGAUAGUUGGCCCCACCCGGUGGACCCCCGGGACCCUUUCGGUGGUCUCGGUACAAUACCGGUGACCCCCGAAACUUUCCCCGAAACUCGACAUCCUAUAUAUAAUUCUUUACCUUCGGACCAUUCCGGAACUCCUCGUGAUGUCCGAGAUCUCAUCCGGGACUCCUAACAACUUUCGGUUUACUGCAUACUCAUAUCUCUACAACCCUAGCGUCACCGAACCUUAAGUGUGUAGACCCUACGGGUUCGGGAGACAUGCAGACAUGACCGAGACGCCUCUCCGGUCAAUAACCAACAGCGGGAUCUGGAUACCCAUGUUAGCUCCCACAUGCUCCUCGAUGAUCCCAUUGGAUGAACCACGAUGUUGAGGAUUCAAACAACCCCGUAUACAAUUCCCUUUGUCAAUCGGUAUGUUACUUGCCCGAGACUCGAUCGUCGGUAUCCCAAUACCUCGUUUAAACUCAUUAUCGGCAACUCACUUUACUCGUACCGUAAUGCAUGAUCUCGUGACCAGACACUUGGUCACAUUGAGCUCAUUAUGAUGAUGCAUUACUGAGUGGGCCCAGAGAUACCUCUCCGUCAUACGGAGUGACAAAUCCCAGUCUUGAUUCGUGCCAACCCAAUAGACACUUUCGGAGAUACCCGUAGUGCACCUUUAUAGUCACCCAGUUACGUUGUGACGUUUGGCAUACCCAAAGCACUCCUACGAUAUCCGGGAGUUGCACAAUCUCAUGGUAUAAGGAAAUGAUACUUGACAUUUGGAAAAGCUCUAGCUAAACGAACUACACGAUCUUUGAGCUAUGCUUAGGAUUGGGUCUUGUCCAUCACAUCAUUCUCCUAAUGAUGUGAUCCCAUUAUCAAUGACAUCCAAUGUCCAUAGUUAGGAAACCAUGACUAUCUGUUGAUCAAUGAGCUAGUCAACUAGAGGUCACUAGGGACAUGUUGUGGUCUAUGUAUUCACACGUGUAUUACGAUUUCCGGAUAAUACAAUUAUAGCAUGAAUAACAGACAAUUAUCAUGAACAAAGAAAUAUAAUAAUAACCAUUUUAUUAUUGCCUAUAGGGCAUAUUUCCAACAAGAACCUCUUGUAAAAGAUUGCAUGCAAUCCAUCUGGACCGGGCGCUUUAAGAUCGCCGAUACUAAACAAUGCCUUUUUCACCUCCUCAGCCGUAUACGGUGCAAGCAAUGCUUCAUUCAUAUAAUCCGAAACUCUAGUUUUCACUUUAUUCAAAACAUCCAUGUUUGGGUGUACAACUUCAGAAGUAAACAACGACUUAAAAUAAUCAGAAAUUAGGUUUCCCAUGGAUACUACAUCUUCCUUCCACUCACCAUCAUCUCCAAGUAGUUUCUGGAUCUGAUUCCUUCUUCUUCUGGCCGUCGCGAAGUUGUUAAAGAAGCUUGUGUUUGGAUCCCCAUACUUCAGCCAGUUGGCACGGCUCCGUUGCACCCAAUAUAGUUCCUCCUUCUCUAGAGUUUCUUCAAUGAGGAUAAGAAUUUCUCGUUGCCGGUCUGCCGCCUCCUCAGUAAGGGGUCCCGACCGCAAGCUUUCAAGCUCCACCUUAAGUUUCUUCAGACGACGUUGUGGCGCACACAACACCGUCAUGUCCCAUGGUGCAACUCCUUGUGCACUGCUGUUGUUCGCGCCGUGAACGAGUUUUGUUCAUUCGUGUUCUCUCAGGCAUCAGUGACCCACUGCGCAACAUCAUUUUCCUGCAACCAUCUUGCCUCAAAGCGACGGGUUCCAUCAGUAGGGCGAUGGACAACACUACUAUCCCCUUCCAAAUCCAAGACCAAAGGACGAUGGACCGAUUUAGAGUGUUCAUCAUUGGUGAUGGUCGCAUCUGGGAAUAGAGCAUGGAAAGCUCCAUUACAUAUACCUCUGUCCAAUCUUUCUCUCAGUCUCCUCCGUCUCCAUGUAAACAUUUCACCCUUAAAUCCCAUGUCAUCAAGCUGGCAAUCCACCAACGCAUCUCUGAAAUUUUUCAUCAUUUGGGUUGGUCUUGGAGCCCCUCCUUCUUUCUCAUGUGAAUAUAAGAUUUCAUUAAAAUCAUCAAUGACCACCCAUGGUCCAUUCAUCUGCGGCCUUAGAGAUCUCAAGUACUCCCAAGAUAGAUGUUUGUCCUCCCACUUGGGCUCACCAUAGAACCCAGUCAAUCUCCACAUAGCUUCUCCAGGGCCAUCUAUAGCCACAUCAAUGUAGUUUUUUUAUACACUCAGGGCUUGUAUCACAACCGGGUUGCGCCAAGUUAACAACAACCCCCCACUAGGACCGUCAGUUUCAUAAACUUCCAUCCUAUCCAUCGACAGUUUCCUCAUCAAUUUUUUUGCCUUUGCUUUAUACAGAUGUGUCUCGGACAGGAAGAUCACAUCCGGGCCCCAUUGCUUCUGAAUGUCCAGAAGCGCUCGAACUGCCGUGGUGCUGGCCAUCCCACGGCAGUUCCAACAUAGAGUUUUCAUUGUGCCCGGCGAUCCCUUUCAUGAGGGGUCGCCGAUCCCAUGUCAGUAUCCUUGUUUCCUUCUGUUAAGGUCAUAGUUUCCCCUUCCGCAGUUCUCUAUCUCUUUUGAUCCUGCACCUUUUGUGGUGUAGUCAUCAAGCUCUUGUCCACCUGUAAACUCAGUGUUAUUCUAGCUGCAGAACUCGCCCAGCCACAACACCUGUUGAGGAAGAUGACCCCUCAUUAUGUUUUAUGAAAGUGCCAUCCGGUCCAACCAGUCUUUUCCUUGCUGUUGGCAUUGGCAUGCCCUGUCCCGUACCUCUGCCAAGAUUCAUCUCUCUUCCUUCUUCUGGGUUUGGGUCACCGGGGUUUCCUCUUCCCCUCCCCACUGCCCCUCCUCUCCAAGCAGUACCACCUCGGCCAAAACCCCCUCGGCCUCCACCACCAGACCGAGACUCAAAAUUUGCCAGGAGCCAUUCCCCCCACUCACAUUCUUCCUCCGCAUGUAUUCCAUCUCCACAUUCACUCACCACGUGUCCCAUCAUACCACAGAAAUAACAGAAACCAGGCAAUUUUUCAUACUCAACAGGAUAUUUCUUCAGUUCCUUCAAAGUUAGAGGCACAAAGCGGACCAGUGGUGUAUCGAGCCUUACAAACACCCUCGCCCGCAGAUACUUUGUGGGGUUUAAGAGGCCUUCAUUAACUACAACUUUGAUCGAUGGGACUCCGACCUUUCUAGCUAUCUUUUCAGCUACUUCUCUCUUCUUCAUCAGCCCAUCUGGGAUCCCGAUAAUCCUUGACUAGACCGGGAUCCUAUCAAGUUUAUAAUCAUCAGCAUUUGUGAUACCGUCAUACUCCUCAAUUACCACUCCAUACUCCCUAACAGCCACGGGCCGCCAUUCAUGACCCGAUUCCAAUCUCCCAAUCACAUAAACUGUGCCAAAAAUAGGUUAGGGUUCCUAGUUUUGAACGUCACACCCUGCGCCGGGAUCCAGGCGUUUCUCAUCGUCUUAAACAGGGCUACAUGACUAAAGUGUUUCUGAGUAUGAACCCUAAAGAUCGUUAUCCACCUUGUCUCCUUGAUUAAGUCUUCAACUCCCCGGAUAGAUCUAACUCUUCUUCUUCCUCACCAUGUAGCUUCAGACCUUGAAAUCUGUCCUCCAAACUCGCCUUGUAAUCGGAUGUGUACUCGCCUCCAUCGCCGCCGCCGCCAGCCCUAGAAGAUCCCGCGCCAGGCGGCUGGUCUCCUCUCUCAUCGGACAUGCCGGCGUUCGUUAGUGCGCCUAAGAUUGAUGGGAUCACGCUAGGAUCACUCGGCGAGCAACCUUGCGUGAGAAUUUCGUACGGGGUAAUUGGAUUUGUGGGAACCCUAGCGAGACCGCCAGGGGAAAAGGGGAACCCUAGCUUUCGCCAGGGGAAAAACAGAGCGAUGGGCAUAUUUCACGUUAAUAGUUACCAUCUAAACAACACAAUGUUACCAGAUUAUUUUCACACGUUUAUUUGUCAUAGCGAUGAUCUACAAGUCAGUAGUGAGUAUUCGAUCCACUCUGAGCACCAAAAAUACGUGAUUAGUAUCAGAAAAGGCUUACAUUGGUAAGCAGCAAAGUGAAAAAAAAAUCUGGCAACCAUUUGAUUUUAACCUGGUAAGCAACUUGACUAUACCUAGUGACCAAGUGAUUGUAAUCUGGCAACUAGUGUUGGGAAAAAAAAGUUAUCAGAACAUAUCAACAUAGGAUCUAGUUUUGAACAUCUCAUCAAAAAGCUAACCGUGAAAACGGAUCUGAAUUUCGACAUAGGGUUAAAGAGAUAAAACAUUUUAAAGUUCGGAAAUCAAAAGAAAUCCCAUGUGGCAGUUACUACAUGCAUGGAGUAUUUAACCAAAAACUACCACAUUUCAUGAAAACGUGUCCAGAAACUACUACUUUACAAAUUUAUGCCAAAAACAACCAUUUUUUUACUAACUCGUAGCAAACAAUUACCACUUUCGGAAAUGACCAGUUUAGAAGAACACCUUUAUGACAAGUGGGGCCCGCAGUCAGGGCUGACGUGGCAAGUCAACAAGCGCACGAGAUGACGGUGAGCACGCCCGGCGGGCAGCAUGCGGACGCGACCCACACACCCGGUGGCGAUGCCCAGAUCGGGCACUCCGACGGACCCACACUGCUCGACCGCACACGGCCACCCAGCGCUAGCUUGCUAGCACCAACGAGCAAGUAUGCAUGGCUUGGCGACCAGCCAGCGUGAGCACGUACGCACGACUUGGCGACCAGCCAGCGCGAGCAUGCGGCUCGGCGACCAGCGCGUGCUCGCGGCUUGUGCGCGGUUCGACGACUGCGCGAGCACCCACGGGAUGGCUGCGGUGGCCCGCCCGCACUUCUGCACGCGACAGCUACGGCGGCGAGCUCAGAUGCCGGCCCGCACGCGACCGCAACGACGACCAGCCCGCCCUCCCGCGCUCCCGCACGCGACGACGACCGGCCAGCGUCUCACGCCUGCUACGGCGCUGCCUCCGUCAUCCUCGACUCGGCAGCCUCUAGGUGGGCGACAUGGACAACACAAGUGCUCGCCGAGGGACACGAAGACGAGGUGUUCGUUGAAAUGGGCAAGAGAAUAUAGGAGGAGGAGGAGGAGGAAGAAGAAGAUAGAUACUGACGUGUGGGGCCCACUUGUCAUAACGAUCAACUUAACAGUAAAAAAAGGUGUUGACUUUCCUGCCACGUCAGCCCUGAUGGAUGGCCCCCACUUGUCAUAAACAUGUUUAAAUCUUCUAAACUGGUCAUUUUUCGAAAGUGAUAUUAGUUUUUUGUCAGUAAAAAAGUGAUUGUUUUUGGCAUAAAUUUAUAGAAUGAUAGUUUAUAGGCACGUUUUUAUGAAAUGUGGUAGUUUUUAAUUAAAUACUCGCAUGCAUGCAUGCAUGUAUUGCUAGGUUACCAUAUUAAAACCGUGCCCACGGGAAAGCUAAUCUAGGUCCUAAAUCGUGGUCGUGGGGAUAUAAAAUUCAGACGAUCUCGUUCCCAUCGGUCCUAAAUUUAUUACAGCUGCCUCUCCUCUAGUCCUCUCCGCGGCCGCUAGGGUUUGCUCUCCUCUCUGCCGCCCACAGCUGUUUAGCUUCCGGCGUCGGGCUCGUCGCCGUCUGGUAAGUGCUUCUCCUCAUACUUUUUUUUGUCUCUGCUGCUUCGCCCUCCCAAUCGACUGCCCCCCUUGUGCCCUUCCGGGUUCUGCCCUCCGGUCCUCAUCACUAAACUCGAAGUCGGCGUCCUGCCGUAUCAACUCCGCCGAUCCCCAUAGUCUUUCCGCCCGCCGCCGCCAGGUCGGGUUAGGCCCUUCGCCGUCUCAGAUCCCCCUCUCCUCACCUUAGUUUUUCCUCCUAGUUUCCGCCCCCGCGAGGUCGGAUUAGGCAGGCCCAUCGACGUCUCCUUUGGCAUAUCUUAUUAGUCGCCAACAGAACAAUAUAUUUUGUCUUUUUAUUAAGCAAACUACGCUUGGGGGUUAGCCACCUGAAUUCAUUCGUUUCUAUUAAAUGAAAAUUAUUUAUUUUAUCUAUUAUUAUGCAGGAGAUGAUGAUAUCCAACAAAAUGCAUGAUGUGCUUUUGCCAGUGUUCUCUCUGUUCAAGUUUCGUUUGGAUGCUCCACGUAUCCACAGUAUGUUCCUACUCAUUUUGAUGGGUCCAAUUGUGCGGAGCUUGUUAUUAUGCAUCUAUCUUUUUUCUAUCUUUUUUCAGAACUGUUCUAGACCAGAUUUUAUCUUCAGGAUACUAUGGCUGGAAUAAAAACAUGGUGACUAAAAAUUAUUAGAUUGACCUCUUGUGCACUCCAUAAUGAUCUUUUAGCAUUGAUUUUUUUUGGUAGGCUCCUCACCGCUGUCUUGUCCACCUCAUUGUGGAAUGUCGUAGUAAUUCUCAAAAGUUUGCACGGCAAGUAGCAUAUGAAGUAUCAAUGCUAAAGCAGGUUUCAAUAUUUUAUCAACAGUUAUGUGGCAUGGAAAUAGUUUCUUAUUGACUUCUUUCCUUUGAUUACUAUUCAUUGUGUACAGUUAAGUGGCAUGGAACUGAAACCAUACUUUGUUGUUGACUUGUUUCAUUGUGGACAGAUUUUCCUUGUUAAGUUGAGAUAUUAGCAUCUUACUAGAUCUUGAUUACUAUUCAUGUUAUGGUGUCUUUGGAUUUAUCUUAGCUCAGCAGGACAAAGUCAUGAAGGGUUCAUCCUUACACUAGUUUGAUGCCAGCUGCCUACAUUUACCAAUAUUUUUUAAUAUGGUUUAAGUUCAUGCAUAUCUGAUUUUAUGAGUUUCAGUAGGCGUCAUCAAGUCAUGGGCUGUGGCUUCAAUCCUCGGAUUUUUUGUUUGCAUGUGCUGUGCUGCUAUGAAGCAUUGUUUAGCAAACAAUGUUUUGGGAAUUUCUUCCCGUAUCCAGGUUUUUUUAUUAGUUAUAUUGUGUAUUUCUAAGAAUUAUGAGCAGCACUUUCUGGGUGGUGUUCACUUCAGUUAUGGUCAGGGUAGCUAAAUUUUUUAUGCUCCAAUAAAUGUCAUAGAUCUUUUUAGUGAACUUUUAAUGAUAAUAUUGUUAGUGGGUUCGUUUUUAGUUUAAUAGUUCAACUAAUCUGAUAUGCAUUGUUAUGCACAGCACGUGUUCCCACCCACAGAUGCUGCCUCCAUGCUUUUCAUUGCCGACACUGCAAUAUCUGGUUAGUAAUAGAAUAGAAGUUCUUUUGUUUGUGCCAAAUUACAUUUGCUGUUUGUUCUUCUGAAACUUGCAAUGGUUAUAGAUAUGUGGUUAGUAAUAGAAUAAAAGUAACAUCAGCUUCACUAUGACUUGUGCGUGCCAACUUCAUUUGGCAUAAUCACCUGUAUUUAUAGUGAGACCUCAGUAAAUUUUUUGCAUCAUUGCAGCUCUUUCUCUUGUUGGUCUACGAGGACGAAAUAGCAUUUAUCAGCAUUUUCUUAUUCUUGUUGAUCUAAGAGAACAUUCUAUCUUUUAUUUAUUCUUUAGUAUUAGUACUAGGGAAAAGUGCAGAUUUGAAACUAGAACGUUUCCAAUUCUUGAUCAGAUGCGCCCUGCUUGCUUGGCUGUUUUACUUGCUCGGUUGCUCUAUAUGGGAUCCAUGCCACUCUUUUGCUGUUGCCGGUAUGAUUAAAAAAAAUUGUGGCCCAAGGGGCCGAGACAGUAUGCACAAAGAAAAACAAAUUAUUUUGAAGUUUGAACUUCCUCUUGGAUUAACUAUUGUAUUAAAUUCUGCAUAUUGGAGCAGUUGCUGCAUCACUCAGCACAUAAUAUGGAUUUCUGUUUUUUGGUUCCAGGUAUAUGUGUUGCACUUGCCCUCUGUAUCGCUGUGCCAAGAGCUAGCAAGAACCAUUUCUUUAAUUACGCAUUUUUGCGAUACACUGUAUUUAUCAUCAUACUGAACUGGUUUCAAUCCACACAGGUGAGUUAUGCUACUUGAGUUGCACCUGAUAUUAUCUUGAAAAUAAAAUGCCUUGUUCUAUAUGCUCAUCUCAUCUUUUUUUUCAGGGUGGGGGGCAGCCUGCUGUACAAUACGUUGCUUGUGGCGUGAUUAGUUUUGUUGUUGUUCACUGUUUGUGGAAUGUAGAAGUAAAACAGGUAAGGUCGGUCCAUAUUGUUGUUUGUACUAUAGAUAUGCCUAUUGCCAGUCCCAAUUGUGUGGUGGUUGAUGACAUUCUGUAGUGACAUAUCCUAUUUGCUAAUAUCUCUUUUUUUCCUUGCUUGAGGGUGACAACAAUCAGCCGAUGAGUGAAGUGUGGGAUUGGAACAUGUAUGGAACCAAACUGAAGUUUCAUGGAUGGUUUAUUAACACUGCCAAUGAGGAUGGUGACGGAGGUGAGGAUGGUGACGGAGGUGAGGAUGAUGCUUCAUUUGCCUCGGAGCAUUCCGAUGAUGAAGAUUUGACUGGGUUGUCAAUUUUACGUGCGGUGCAAGUGUUGGCCAUUCGUGCAAACUUCCGUAUCAGCCGUAUGGACGCCCAUGACUGGUACCAAAGUUUUGUCAUCUAUAUGGCGCUCGAGGGGGAAGUACAAGAGGUAUACACUAGCUACCGUAUGAUAUAUCUACUACAUGAUUUAUGCCUCUUUACAUGCAUUAUAUAUUGUAAUAAAUUAAAAUCCUUCACAUUCAUGCUUUCAUGUGUAGGAAGGAAUGGAUUUGGUACUCAUUGGACCAUGUGGGAUACUACAUGCUUACGGUGCCUUUUGCUUGGAGGUUUUCACAGAAGACCUGGUUUUCACAGAAUACGAUGAGGGUUCUUCUACUGAUGAUGAGGGAUCUUGGGGCGGUCAUUUCCGCCGAGGCUGGAGUGUUAUUGAUCCUGAUGAAGUUGAGGAAUUCACACAAACCAUCUAUGGAGGCCUUGGCCGCAAGUUGGAGAUCACAUACUUGGUGAUUCCGGAAGUAGUUGAGACCUAUGUUGAGGUCAGGUUGAACCUCAAAGACUUCAGUUCGAGAAGCCGCUCUGUGUAUGGUAGCGUCCAGGCAAUUGCCAUUGACUAUGGGAGCAAAAGUGUCAAUCUCUUCAGUUUUGAAUGAGGCAGUAGCUUGUCCCUGCCCUGUGGUUCGACGUGCAUUCUUCCACUGGGACAACCCGCGAUUGCAUUGCCUAAAGGUAGCAAGUACAAACUCCACAUAGAGGUGGACCUAAGAGUAAUCACGACCUGUGACAGCCAAGAAGAGGACAAGAAUUUGAAAUUAUGUCUAGACUGCAGCCGUAGAAUUAGGAGUGAAGAACGUCUAGAGUUACCCCGUAGAAUUAGGACUCAAAAAAGAGAAUUCGAUGGUGAUCAAGUUGAAGUGAAGGUCAUCUGGGCCCUAGCAAAAUUCUUCUAGAUCCUCGAUAAAUUUGUCUAAGAAAGGAGCUAGAAGCGAAAUAAGUGAAGGAAGGCAUGUGCCACAUCUGGAACUUUGUCUAUGUUUGCCAGAUCAUAUUAUCUAUUUCCUUGUGUUCGAUCUAUUCAUGCCAUUUUAUUUGAACUGAACUUGGGUGAGUGGAAAACCAAGAAUAGUAAAAGAGUCUUUUCGUAUUCAUUAGUGAAUAUUUAUAUUCGGCAAUGUACUGUGAUUAGUAAUUCUAAUAAGUGCAAUUAUUUUAGAGAAGCACGAAGGGUCCAAUAAACCAGACCAGUAGGCAGGGAUCCAAGGGAACCGAAUACCUCAAUUUUAGCAUCAUCUUCCCGCUGUUAUCAAGAGUCCUUAAUUAAUGGCUAUAUAUUUUCCUCUAUUUUUGGUCAAACUCGAGUACACACAGCUAUUGCGGAUCCUUUGCGAGAUCAGGAUUUUGGAUUCAUAAUUUAGAAUCAAUCCAUGUUAGGUCAACAUCGAGACAGAGCAUCUCAGUGGGCUCUGUCAAGGAAGUGAAACAGGCAUUCCUAGGUUGAGGUUACCAUUGGAUUGACCCUCAAUCAGGCCUCUGAUUCCAAGGAGUUGAUUCAGCAAGUUCCCAGCGCUACUCCGCGGGAAGUCUAAUCGGAUCAAUCGGUGGUUCCGUAAUGAGUAGUCGAAUACACAUUGAGGGGGCCUUGCCCACACCUUCAUUCUUUUC
rnacentral:lncRNA from 1 species